rnacentral:rRNA from 1 species
AACGAACGCUGGCGGCAGGCCUAACACAUGCAAGUCGAACGUGAAGCCACCUUCGGGUGGUGGAAAGUGGCAGACGGGUGAGUAACGCGUGGGAACGUGCCUUUCGAUUCGGAAUAACCCAGGGAAACUUGGGCUAAUACCGGAUACGCCCUUCGGGGGAAAGAUUUAUCGCCGAAAGAUCGGCCCGCGUCGGAUUAGCUAGUUGGUAGGGUAAUGGCCUACCAAGGCGACGAUCCGUAGCUGGUCUGAGAGGAUGACCAGCCACACUGGGACUGAGACACGGCCCAGACUCCUACGGGAGGCAGCAGUGGGGAAUAUUGGACAAUGGGCGAAAGCCUGAUCCAGCCAUGCCGCGUGGGUGAAGAAGGCCCUAGGGUUGUAAACCCCUUUCAGCGGGGAAGAUAAUGACGGUACCCGCAGAAGAAGCCCCGGCUAACUCCGUGCCAGCCGCCGCCGUAACAC